rnacentral:rRNA from 1 species
AGUUCCAAUAGCGUAUAUUAAAGUUGUUGCGGUUAAAAAGCUCGUAGUUGGAUUUCUGCUAAGGACGACCGGUCCGCCCUCUGGGUGAGUAUCUGGCUUGGCCUUGGCAUCUUCUUGGAGAACGUAGCUGCACUUGACUGUGUGGUGCGGUAUCCAGGACUUUUACUUUGCGGAAAUUAGAGUGUUUCAAGCAGGCACACGCCUUGAAUACAUUAGCAUGGAAUAAUAAGAUAGGACCUUGGUUCUAUUUUGUUGGUUUCUAGAGCUGAGGUAAUGAUUAAUAGGGAUAGUUGGGGGCAUUCGUAUUCAACUGUCAGAGGUGAAGUUCUUGGAUUUGUUAAAGACGGACUACUGCGAAAGCAUUUGCCAAGGAUGUUUUCCUUG